rnacentral:misc_RNA from 1 species
CUAAGUUCAGCGGGUAUCCCUACCUGAUCCGAGGUCAACCAUAGAAAAUAUAGGUUAUGGCAAGCGCUCACCAGGACACUGUAGCGAGAAGAGUUACUACGCUUAGAGCCAGGUGGCACCGCCACUGAUUAGAGCGUGCCCAGCGCGGCAGGCCCCAACACCAAGCUGAGCUUGAGGGGUUGUAAUGACGCUCGAACAGG